rnacentral:rRNA from 1 species
GUGGGGGAUAGCCCGGCGAAAGCCGGAUUAAUACCGCAUACGACCUAUGGGUGAAAGGGGGGGAUCGCAAGACCUCUCGCUAUUGGAGCGGCCGAUGUCAGAUUAGCUAGUUGGUGGGGUAAAGGCCUACCAAGGCGACGAUCUGUAGCUGGUCUGAGAGGACGACCAGCCACACUGGGACUGAGACACGGCCCAGACUCCUACGGGAGGCAGCAGUGGGGAAUUUUGGACAAUGGACGCAAGUCUGAUCCAGCCAUGCCGCGUGCGGGAAGAAGGCCUUCGGGUUGUAAACCGCUUUUGUCAGGGAAGAAAUCUUCUGGGUUAAUACCUCGGGGAGGAUGACGGUACCUGA